AGAAUCAACGCUGGCGGCGUGCCUCAGACAUGCAAGUCGAACGCGAAAUCCCGAGCAAUCGGGAAAGUAGAGUGGCGCACGGGUGAGUAACACGUAGGUAAUCUACCUUCGGAUGGGGAAUAACAACCGGAAACGGUUGCUAAUACCGCAUAAUGCAGCGGCACCUAAUGGUGACAGUUGUUAAAGCGGGGGAUCGAAAGACCUCGCGUCUGAAGAGAGCCUGCGGCGGAUUAGCUAGUUGGUAAGGUAAUGGCUUACCAAGGCAACGAUCC
rnacentral:rRNA from 1 species